AUGGUGGGCGACCUCUCCCUCCUCGCCUCCGCAUCUGCCUCCCCCGUCAUCCUCGCGCCCUCCAAGGAGCUCCAUGGCGUCCUGCCGUUCCAGGGGAAGAGGUCCCAGCAGGACAUGGGGAGAAGCGCCGCCGUGCAGCUCUCCCCGCAGCAGCACCUCCUCGAGGGCGCCUACCAGGCGCAGCAGCCCCUGCAGAUGAUGGUCCCCGGGAUCGGCCAGGCUGCCGCCGCCGCCUACCAGACCUUCGACAGCGCCGCGCUCAUCGACGUGCAAGAUUCCCACCCCGAUUCGGUUCGACUUAGCCUUGGGAUUGCUGAGCAGUGUGCAAGGCAAGAGAAAAUCCUAAAGUUUCUAAUGUCAGGUCCUGAUGUCAAAGAACUUGAUGCCUCUUUGCUUACUGAAUUUACGGGACAUCAGAUGCUAUCAGCUAAUAUGGGUGGUCAACCAUAUACCUCUGAUGACAAGUUAUCUGUCUAUGAGUUUGGAUUGGAGGAGCCUCUGCAGUAUCUAGCAAAAAAUCAACUUAUCAUCCCUGAUGACAAGUUAUCCAUCUACGAGUUUGGAUUGGAGGAGCCUCUGCAGUAUCUAUCAGAAAAUCAGCUUAUCAUCCCUGAUCCACUUUUGGAAUUUGCUCAGUCCCAAGGUGCCCUUGCUAUAGAUGAAAAUGGCCGGGUCAUCUUCACUGGCAGUGGAGAGGAGAUGAGAGACUUACUUUCGGUUUUCUUAGAGUUCAAUGUACCUAAACGAGAACCAAGUGGUUGCAAGGCUGCAUAUUUAGUUCCAUACUUCGACAGGAAAAGGGGCCGAAAUAGUAGUCAAUCCAAUUCAAAAUCAGCAAGCACCGCAGUUGAUGCUCCAAAAAGCAAGGCAAGUGUGAAGGCAAAAUCUCCAUCGAAGAAGAAACAGAAAGGAAAAACCAUCAAUGAACGUGACAUGUAUCAGAAUAACUAUUUCCAUGCCAGCGAAGCUUUUUUUUCAAUCCUUCUGGACAAGGACAACAGCUCGACAAUUCUCUCACUGAAGAAAGCAGGUCCUGAGAUCACUGAACUGUUGACACAAUGCUCUAUUGGCAUUGCUGGAACUGGCCUGGCUGUUCUUCUGUCGGUUGUGUGCAAGAUUGCCAUCGGCGGGAGGACUCCUUUUGCCGCCUCCCGACUGCUGCACACAGGCGUUGGAUUUGGGCUCUUCUGGCUCUCACAUGCGGUAAAUGGAUUGCGGGACACGAUCACCAGCGUAUUUAGAGGCCCAGUUGAUACGAAGUUGGAGGAUGAGGUUGCUGUGAAGAUACAAAGAAGCAUGAAUGAUAUUCUCUUCAGGGCCGUAAGUCUCCUGGCAAUCACUGCUUUGAGGUUUGCAUGA
rnacentral:rRNA from 1 species